GAGCCCUGCAGUGAUGUAAACGGGAUCUCAGGUCAAGGCUGGGUUGCGAAAGAGCAGCUACAGCCUUUCAUCUCUCCAUCCAGCUCAUUAGCCGGGAGUUCUCCGGGUCCCAGACACCACCGCUACCCCCUGCAUCCUAAUGACUCUGUUUAGGGAAACAGUCAGUCGAGAUUGCCGAAAUAUGUUAUACAUUCUCUAAAAAUAAAACAUUAGGAAAGAAACCCUAACCCGAGUCACAAUGAGCACCAUACUAUCUUCACCUCCAGUCUCUCAAGAAAGACCAUUGCUGGUGUCUAAGGGGUGCUCGAGACUGCACCGAGUGCCAGCUCUGAUCUUUUAGGCUUGGAUCUAGUUAUGUCUGCUUGCGCACUGAAUAAUGUGGUAUUCAAUCAUCUUUAGAAGUCAUGCCCAUGUUGCUUUACUUGAACAGCUUUGGCUUUGCUACAAACUCUUGCCAUACCCAGAUCCUAACUCCACCAUCCACCAGAGAGGCCUGCUCUUGCUCUCCUCACAAGAACAACAAACUCCAGCUCUCUUUUCUUGCUCUCCUGAUGUCCAGCUUUUCAGUCAGAGGCCCACAAGAUUUAGCUGAAUUUCCUACUUUUACCAUCCAGAGGUCUACAAGCCCCUGCAUCUUGUCAGGAUCUGACUCAUGACAUCAUAAUGACCACAAGCUCCUGAUCUACCCCUGCUCCUGGGUGGAUCCCACUUCAGCCAUCCUGAGGAUCCAAACAGGAGCUCCUCUUCUGUUUGGAUCCUAUUUCACCUCACAUGGCCCUGCCAUUUUGAGACGCACAAGCCCCUAGUCCCUGUCUGAAAUCUACAGGCUCCUAGAUCUCCAAUGCUGAGGUCUUCAAGAUACAUAUUAUUCUGGUGCCCACAAACUUGUACUUCCCUUCAGAAACCUACAAGCUUCAACCCUUCCGCUUCUGAAAUGUACAAGUCCCUGUUCGGUUCCUAUUUCAUGUCCUAUGUUUACCAUCCUGCAGUCUACAAGCUCCUUUCCCAGUUUGGAUCCUAAUUCAGCUCCUAUAACUUCCACCCUGAAGCCUAAAAAUCCCCUGCUUCCAUUUAUAUCCUACUGUACCUCAUAUGUCUAUGCCCACCAUCUUGAGGACUACAAGCUCCUGCUCUUGUUUGGCUUCUAAAUUACCUCCCAAGUCUGCCAUUUUAAGAUCUACAAGCUCUUGCUCAUUUUUGGAUUUCACUUCAGGUACUCUGCCUACCAUCCUGAUGUCUACAAACUCCUGUUCUACGAGCUCUUGCUCCCAGGUGAAUCCUACUUCAACACCUACUGUACGUUUAUGACUACCAUCUUACAUUUACGGCAUUUGGCCGACGUCCUUAUCCAGAGCAACUUGUGUUUAUCUCAUUUAUACAAUUGAGCAGGUUGAGGGGUAAGGCCUUGCUCAAGGGCCCACCAGUGGCAGUUUGGCAGUGUAGAGAUUUGACCUCACAACCUUCCGGUCAGUAGUUCAACAUUUUAACCACUGCCAUCUUAAGAUCUACAAGCUCCUGCUCCCUUUUGGAACCUACUUCACCUCCUAUGCAUACGCCUACCAUCUUGACAUCUACAGGCCGCUACUCCAGUUGGAUCUUACCUCAACUCCCAUCUUGAGGUCAUUCAAGCGCCUACUCACGUUUGGAUCCUACUUCAACUCAUACAUCUUCCAGUAUGAGGUCUACAUGCUCCUGCUCAUGUGUAAUGGACUGCUUCAAUACGAACUAUGUUCAAGAUAGGAGAUUUACAGUAAACGCACAGUACACUUAAUGCCAACAUACCUAGACUCACAUCCUUAUUGCUAGCACUUAACUGAGAAUUCCUAGACUGGUAAAAGAAAGAAAGAAAAAAAACUAACGGAAAAAGUUGGGCUUCCUGCUACACAGUGUUUGAUCUCUAUUCUGUUCUGUAAGCACUUUCUAAAUGCAAGUGCCUCACAUUUACAUUUAUUCAUUUGGCAGAUGCUUUUAUCCAAGCUGAGCAGAUGAAGGGUAAGGUCUUUGCUCAAGGGUCCAGGAGCAGAUUGACAUUAGGGUAAUUUAAACUAAUAACCUUUAGAUCAGCAUUCCAGAGCCUGAACCACCGACACACCACCAGUGCCUUAAAGCAUCCACAAUAUACGCAAAGGUGAUCUUGAGGAAUCGUCGCUGCCUCGGAGCUAAACGCAUAGAAAUACACCUUGAUGUCAGCAGAAACAUGCUCGAUAGUGUAAAGGAUGGUGAAAAGCAGACAAACAAAUCUCAUUUGUCGAUUAUCAGACCAUUUACUAGCCCGGAGCGCUCGGCUCAAUCUAAAUCUUAACAAUGGCUUUUCACAAUUCGGUGUGGCGGAAAGC
ensembl:lncRNA